rnacentral:rRNA from 1 species
AGGACGAACGCUGGCGGCGUGCUUAACACAUGCAAGUCGAGCGGAAAGGCCCUUCGGGGUACUCGAGCGGCGAACGGGUGAGUAACACGUGGGCAACCUGCCCUUAGCUCUGGGAUAGCUCCGGGAAACCGGAAUUAAAUACCGGAUAUGACCUAGGCCGACAUCGGCCGUGGUGGAGAGUUUUUUCGGCUAGGGAUGGACUCGCGGCCUAUCAGCUAGUUGGUGGGGUAAUGGCCUACCAAGGCGACGACGGGUAG